CCCCCAGCUCAACUGUGGAUCGGCAAUGGAAACUGUGUGACUUGAGUGUGGUAGGGGUAGAGGGAAUUCCUAGUGUAGCGGUGAAAUGCGUAGAUAUUAGGAAGAACACCAGUGGCGAAGGCGCUCUACUGGGCCAUAACUGACACUGAUGGACGAAAGCUAGGGGAGCGAAAGGGGUUAGAUACCCCUGUAGUCCUAGCUGUAAACGAUGGACACUAGGUGUUGGCCGUAUCGACCCGGUCAGUAUCGAAGCAAACGCGUUAAGUGUCCCGCCUGGGGAGUACGCACGCAAGUGUGAAACUCAAAGGAAUUGACGGGGGCCCGCACAAGCGGUGGAGUAUGUGGUUUAAUUCGAUGCAACGCGAAGAACCUUACCAGGGAUUGACAUCCUACGAACUCUUUUGAAAGAAAGGGGUGCCUUCGGGAGCGUAGAGACAGGUGGUGCAUGGCUGUCGUCAGCUCGUGUCGUGAGAUGUUGGGUUAAGUCCCGCAACGAGCGCAACCCUCGUCCUUAGUUGCCAUCAUUAAGUUGGGCACUUUAAGGAGACUGCCGGUGACAAACCGGAGGAAGGUGGGGAUGACGUCAAGUCAUCAUGCCCCUUACAUCCUGGGCUACACACGUACUACAAUGCUACGGACAAAGGGCAGCCAACUAGCGAUAGUGCGCAAAUCCCAUAAACCGUGGCUCAGUUCAGAUUGCAGGCUGCAACUCGCCUGCAUGAAGGCGGAAUCGCUAGUAAUCGCAGGUCAGCAUACUGCGGUGAAUACGUUCCCGGGCCUUGUACACACCGCCCGUCACACCAUGGAAGUUGGCCACGCCCGAAGUCGUUACCCCAACCUUAGGGAGGGGGACGCCGAAGGCAGGGCUGAUGACUGGGGUGAAGUCGUAACAAGGUAACC
rnacentral:rRNA from 1 species